AUGAACGCUAGCUACAGGCUUAACACAUGCAAGUCGAGGGGCAGCAUGGUCUUAGCUUGCUAAGGCCGAUGGCGACCGGCGCACGGGUGAGUAACACGUAUCCAACCUGCCGUCUACUCUUGGACAGCCUUCUGAAAGGAAGAUUAAUACAAGAUGGCAUCAUGAGUCCGCAUGUUCACAUGAUUAAAGGUAUUCCGGUAGACGAUGGGGAUGCGUUCCAUUAGAUAGUAGGCGGGGUAACGGCCCACCUAGUCUUCGAUGGGUAGGGGUUCUGAGAGGAAGGUCCCCCACAUUGGAACUGAGACACGGUCCAAACUCCUACGGGAGGCAGCAGUGAGGAAUAUUGGUCAAUGGGCGAGAGCCUGAACCAGCCAAGUAGCGUGAAGGAUGACUGCCCUAUGGGUUGUAAACUUCUUUUAUAAAGGAAUAAAGUCGGGUAUGGAUACCCGUUUGCAUGUACUUUAUGAAUAAGGAUCGGCUAACUCCGUGCCAGCAGCCGCGGUAAUACGGAGGAUCCGAGCGUUAUCCGGAUUUAUUGGGUUUAAAGGGAGCGUAGAUGGAUGUUUAAGUCAGUUGUGAAAGUUUGCGGCUCAACCGUAAAAUUGCAGUUGAUACUGGAUAUCUUGAGUGCAGUUGAGGCAGGCGGAAUUCGUGGUGUAGCGGUGAAAUGCUUAGAUAUCACGAAGAACUCCGAUUGCGAAGGCAGCCUGCUAAGCUGCAACUGACAUUGAGGCUCGAAAGUGUGGGUAUCAAACAGGAUUAGAUACCCCGGUAGUCCACACGGUAAACGAUGAAUACUCGCUGUUUGCGAUAUACAGCAAGCGGCCAAGCGAAAGCGUUAAGUAUUCCACCUGGGGAGUACGCCGGCAACGGUGAAACUCAAAGGAAUUGACGGGGGCCCGCACAAGCGGAGGAACAUGUGGUUUAAUUCGAUGAUACGCGAGGAACCUUACCCGGGCUUAAAUUGCAGAUGAAUUACGGUGAAAGCCGUAAGCCGCAAGGCAUCUGUGAAGGUGCUGCAUGGUUGUCGUCAGCUCGUGCCGUGAGGUGUCGGCUUAAGUGCCAUAACGAGCGCAACCCUUGUUGUCAGUUACUAACAGGUUCCGCUGAGGACUCUGACAAGACUGCCAUCGUAAGAUGUGAGGAAGGUGGGGAUGACGUCAAAUCAGCACGGCCCUUACGUCCGGGGCUACACACGUGUUACAAUGGGGGGUACAGAGGGCCGCUACCACGCGAGUGGAUGCCAAUCCCCAAAACCUCUCUCAGUUCGGACUGGAGUCUGCAACCCGACUCCACGAAGCUGGAUUCGCUAGUAAUCGCGCAUCAGCCACGGCGCGGUGAAUACGUUCCCGGGCCUUGUACACACCGCCCGUCAAGCCAUGGGAGCCGGGGGUACCUGAAGUGCGUAACCGCGAGGAGCGCCCUAGGGUAAAACUGGUGACUGGGGCU
rnacentral:rRNA from 1 species